rnacentral:rRNA from 1 species
GACGAACGCUGGCGGCGUGCCUAAUACAUGCAAGUCGAGCGAAUCUUGAGGUGCCUGCACCUCUUGGUUAGCGGCGGACGGGUGAGUAACACGUGGGCAACCUGCCUGUAAGACUGGGAUAACUUCGGGAAACCGGAGCUAAUACCGGAUAAUCCUUUUCCUCUCAUGAGGAAAAGCUGAAAGUCGGUUUUUCGCUGACACUUACAGAUGGGCCCGCGGCGCAUUAGCUAGUUGGUGAGGUAACGGCUCACCAAGGCGACGAUGCGUAGCCGACCUGAGAGGGUGAUCGGCCACACUGGGACUGAGACACGGCCCAGACUCCUACGGGAGGCAGCAGUAGGGAAUCUUCCGCAAUGGACGAAAGUCUGACGGAGCAACGCCGCGUGAGCGAUGAAGGCCUUCGGGUCGUAAAGCUCUGUUGUUAGGGAAGAACAAGUAUCGGAGUAACUGCCGGUACCUUGACGGUACCUAACCAGAAAGCCACGGCUAACUACGUGCCAGCCGCCGCGGUAAGAC